AAUAGGCUGUGGGGGUGCUUUAUAUAGCUGAGAAGAGAUAUUCUCUAACCCUUUGAACCUGAUCCAGAUAAAACUGGCGUAGGGAAGCAAUUUCACAUGACUU
rnacentral:ncRNA from 1 species